rnacentral:lncRNA from 1 species
CGAUGCUUAAAAAGAAAUCGACUUACAAGGGUGUGAAAAUGGGCUCGAUAUUAAAUCGAGGAAAAUAUGAUUUUUAUAAGUUUAAAAAUGGUUUUGAAUGAAUGAUGAAAUUAAAAGAAAACAAAUUUGCAUUAUUAACAAAUGAAACUAUGAGUGUAAUAAAGGCAUAAACAUAAAAAGAAAUGAAAAUGCUAAAAGAAAAUAAAAUAGCUAAAAGAAAUAAAAUGCCAAAAAAAUGCUACACAUGAGUAUUGAACCCACCCCACUCAAAACUAUGAUACUACCCUUCUCCACCAGACCACUCAUGACUAGUUGCUAUUCACAGUGCUAAAUUAGAUAUAUAAACUAAGAUAGAAUAAAAAUUAGAAUUAAAAUAAAAAAAAUAAAAAAACUAAUAAAAAAAAAGAAAUACUAGACAUAUUAAAUAUUUUUUAUGGUUUUUGCUUAUCUUUGUUUAAAAUAAAUUACAAAAAAAGAAAAAAAGAAAUGGAAACAAAGAAACAGACCCUCGUCUUCGUUCUUUCCCCAAACGCGUAUCCGCUCUCAAUCUCUCUUCUCUCAAUCUCUCGACGCUCCUCACCGCUACCCACGGACUCUCUCACGUUUCUUUCAACCCCUCAACGAAUCUCUCUCGCAUUCAACCUCAAGCUCCUCUCACGUCCUCAACCACAUUCCCAAAUGCACAAUACCCACAACUUUAAAGGAACCUGAAGUUUACCUCCGGUGGCGAUUUGGUAGUGACGAUGAAUGAUGAAGCCAAAACUUCGCUCUUUCGCCUCUCUGAUACAGGUAUCUUUCGGUUUUGGGAUUUUAGGUUUUUUUUGAAUCGAGUCUUAGGCGGUUACCUCUUUGCAAUAGGAUGGGUUGACAUGCCACAAGAUCGGAGACGCACGGAAGGUCUAAAAGAAAUGGGGAAGUUCUGCCCUAGAGUUGUCAUGCAAUAUGUACUUAAGUGUUAGGAUUUACAAAUCUACACUCGGAAAAGCGCCAUCUAUCUCUACUCAACAAUCAUGGACGAAACAUUGUUUUGUAUCUCUUAAGACAAGAUAUUUUCAUUUUUAAAGGUUUUU